rnacentral:rRNA from 1 species
CCCUUAGAUGUUCGGGGCCGCACGCGCGCUACACUGAAGGAAUCAGCACGUCUUUCUCCUUGUCCGAAAGGACUGGGUAACCCGCUGAACCUCCCUCGUGCUAGGGAUUGGGGCUUGUAAUUCUUCCCCAUGAACGAGGAAUUCCCAGUAAGCGCGAGUCAUAAGCUCGCGUUGAUUACGUCCCUGCCCUUUGUACACACCGCCCGUCGCUACUACCGAUUGGAUGGUUUAGUGAGAUCCUCGGAUUGGUCCCGGAGCGGCCUCUGGUCGUGCCGGAGUGCCGAAAAGAAUGUCGAACUUGAUCAUCUAGAGGAAGUAAAAGUCGUAACA